CCUACGGGUGGCAGCAGUGGGGGAUAUUGCACAAUGGGGGGAACCCUGAUGCAGCGACGCCGCGUGGGUGAAGGAGCGUUUCGGCGCGUAAAGCCCUAUCGGCAGGGAAGAAGAUGACGGUACCUGACCAAGAAGCCCCGGCUAACUACGUGCCAGCAGCCGCGGGAAUACGUAGGGGGCAAGCGUUAUCCGGAUUUACGGGGUGUAAAGGGGGCGCAGACGGCAAUGCAAGCCAGGAGGGAAAGCCCGGGGGCCCACCCCGGGACUGCUCUUGAAACUGCAUGGCUGGAGUACAGGAGGGGCAGGCGGAAUUCCUAGUGUAGCGGUGAAAUGCGUAGAUAUUAGGAGGAACACCGGUGGCGAAGGCGGCCUGCUGGACUGUGACUGACGUUGAGGCCCGAAGGCGUGGGGAGCGAACAGGAUUAGAUACCCGAGUAGUC
rnacentral:rRNA from 1 species